AGGGGGUGCAGCAGGCGCGAAAACUUCGCAAUGGGGGCAACCCCGACGAGGGGAUUCCAAGUGCCAGCACUUUGUGUUGGCUGUUUUCCUGUCUAAAAAACAGGAGGAGUAAGGGGCGGGUAAGACGGGUGCCAGCCGCCGCGGUAAUACCCGCGCCCCUAGUGGUGGUCGAUAUUAUUGAGCCUAAAACGUCCGUAGCCGGUCUUUUAAAUCCUUGGGUAAAUUGGGCAGCUUAACUGUCCGAAUUCCGAGGAGACUGGAAGACUUGGGACCGGGAGAGGUCAGAGGUACUUCUAGGGUAGGGGUAAAAUCCUGUAAUCCUGGAAGGACCACCGGUGGCGAAGGCGUCUGACUAGAACGGAUCCGACGGUGAGGGACGAAGCCCUGGGGCGCAAACGGGAUUAGAUACCCCGGUAGUCCAGGGUGUAAACGCUGCGGGCUUGGUGUUGGGGGUCCUUCGUGGGCGCUCAGUGCCGGAGAGAAGUUGUUAAGCCUGCUGCUUGGGGAGUAUGUCCGCAAGGAUGAAACUUAAAGGAAUUGGCGGGGGAGCAC
rnacentral:rRNA from 1 species